UACAUGGGGUGCAAACGUUGCUCGGAAUUAUUGGGCGUAAAGCGCGCGUAGGCGGUUACUUAAGUCGGAUGUGAAAGCCCUCGGCUUAACUGAGGAAGUGCAUCCGAAACUGAGUAGCUAGAGUACGAAAGAGGGUCGCGGAAUUCCCGGUGUAGAGGUGAAAUUCGUAGAUAUCGGGAGGAACACCGGCGGCGAAGGCGGCACUCUGGGCCGGUACUGACGCUGAGGAGCGAAAGCGUGGGUAGCAAACAGG
rnacentral:rRNA from 1 species